GUUUUUUUUUUAUUUUUUUUCUAGACAAAAAAUAAAUUUAUUAUUUAUUAUUAAAAUAUAAUUGACAGCUAAAAAAUUAUUAAAUAUAUUUUCAGAUGAUAUUUUGUAGGCGGAAUGAAAUAAAACAGCUUUAAUUUAAAGACCGAUCAAAGUAAAAGUCGGAAUUGACGAGGUCACUUCUGGUGAACGUCGAUCGCGGUGUGAAACUCGAUCCCAAAAAUCAAAAAGAGCUUGGAUUCACUUACCGACACUACCCCGAGAUAACUUUCCGAGACGACAACCGCACGAGAAAUGCGAGCAGGAUUGUAAGCAAGCCCACGGGAUUACUCUUUCUUCUGUACCCUGCAGCAACUAUAUGCUAUACCAGCAGCAUUAACCAGAUAGAGAACAGGAACAACACGAACGAGUACCACUUGGGACACGCAGUGUUCUUUAAAAGAUUACAUACACAGACUGUAGGUUGUUGCACCGGACGAACCACUUUCUAUUUCAUUUUUUUGGACUCCCUUCUCUUCUCCCUCGUACUCGUACUCUUGAUGGAAUAAGGACGGGUUUACCGGCUGACAGGGCCGUAAGAGAAUAUAUCCUCUUAAAUUAUCCCUAACGAAUUUACGAACCUUAUAUGCAUCGUUUUUUGAUACAUUUCUUCUUAA